ACGGGGGGUGCAAGCGUUGUUCGGAAUUAUUGUUCUUAAAUCGCGUGUAGGCGGCUGAAUAAGUCAGAUGUGAAAUCCCUGGGCUUAACCCAGGAAGUGCAUUUGAAACUAUUCAGCUUGAGUAGGGGAGAGGAAAGUGGAAUUCCUGGUGUAGAGGUGAAAUUCGUAGAUAUCAGGAGGAACACCGGUGGCGAAGGCGACUUUCUGGCCCUAUACUGACGCUGAGACGCGAGAGCGUGGGGAGCAAACAG
rnacentral:rRNA from 1 species